rnacentral:rRNA from 1 species
GGGCCCGCACAAGCGGUGGAGCAUGUGGCUUAAUUCGAGGCAACGCGAAGAACCUUACCUGGUCUUGACAUGCCCGUCAUAGUUUUCCGAAAGGAAUUCGUCAGUUCGGCUGGACGGUGCACAGGUGCUGCAUGGCUGUCGUCAGCUCGUGUCGUGAGAUGUUCGGUUAAGUCCGGCAACGAGCGCAACCCUCGUUUCCAGUUGCCAGCGGGUAAUGCCGGGGACUCUGGAAAGACAAACCUCUUGUUGAGGUGGGAAGGUGGGGACGACGUCAAGUCAGUAUGGCCCUUACGACCAGGGCUGCACACGUGCUACAAUGCCCGGUACAAUGGGAUGCAAUAUCGCGAGAUUGAGCCAAUCCAUAAAGCCGGGCCCAGUUCGGAUUGGAGUCUGCAACUCGACUCCAUGAAGUUGGAAUCGCUAGUAAUGGC